GGCCGCGGGAAUUCGAUUCAGGCCUAACACAUGCAAGUCGAACGGCAGCACGGAGCUUGCUCUGGUGGCGAGUGGCGAACGGGUGAGUAAUAUAUCGGAACGUACCCUAGAGUGGGGGAUAACGUAGCGAAAGUUACGCUAAUACCGCAUACGAUCUAAGGAUGAAAGUGGGGGAUCGCAAGACCUCAUGCUCGUGGAGCGGCCGAUAUCUGAUUAGCUAGUUGGUAGGGUAAAAGCCUACCAAGGCAUCGAUCAGUAGCUGGUCUGAGAGGACGACCAGCCACACUGGAACUGAGACACGGUCCAGACUCCUACGGGAGGCAGCAGUGGGGAAUUUUGGACAAUGGGCGAAAGCCUGAUCCAUCAAGGCCGCGUGAGUGAAGAAGGCCUUCGGGUU
rnacentral:rRNA from 1 species